rnacentral:rRNA from 1 species
AUUGGACGCUGGCGGCAGGCCUAACACAUGCAAGUCGAACGGUAACAGAAAGCAGCUUGCUGCUUUGCUGACGAGUGGCGGACGGGUGAGUAAUGUCUGGGAAACUGCCUGAUGGAGGGGGAUAACUACUGGAAACGGUAGCUAAUACCGCAUAACGUCGCAAGACCAAAGAGGGGGACCUUCGGGCCUCUUGCCAUCGGAUGUGCCCAGAUGGGAUUAGCUAGUAGGUGGGGUAACGGCUCACCUAGGCGACGAUCCCUAGCUGGUCUGAGAGGAUGACCAGCCACACUGGAACUGAGACACGGUCCAGACUCCUACGGGAGGCAGCAGUGGGGAAUAUUGCACAAUGGGCGCAAGCCUGAUGCAGCCAUGCCGCGUGUAUGAAGAAGGCCUUCGGGUUGUAAAGUACUUUCAGCGGGGAGGAAGGGAGUAAAGUUAAUACCUUUGCUCAUUGACGUUACCCGCAGAAGAAGCACCGGCUAACUCCGUG